rnacentral:rRNA from 1 species
CAGGCUUAACACAUGCAAGUCGAGGGGCAGCAUGGUCUUAGCUUGCUAAGGCCGAUGGCGACCGGCGCACGGGUGAGUAACACGUAUCCAACCUGCCGUCUACUCUUGGACAGCCUUCUGAAAGGAAGAUUAAUACAAGAUGGCAUCAUGAGUCCGCAUGUUCACAUGAUUAAAGGUAUUCCGGUAGACGAUGGGGAUGCGUUCCAUUAGAUAGUAGGCGGGGUAACGGCCCACCUAGUCUUCGAUGGAUAGGGGUUCUGAGAGGAAGGUCCCCCACAUUGGAACUGAGACACGGUCCAAACUCCUACGGGAGGCAGCAGUGAGGAAUAUUGGUCAAUGGGCGAGAGCCUGAACCAGCCAAGUAGCGUGAAGGAUGACUGCCCUAUGGGUUGUAAACUUCUUUUAUAAAGGAAUAAAGUCGGGUAUGGAUACCCGUUUGCAUGUACUUUAUGAAUAAGGAUCGGCUAACUCCGUGCCAGCAGCCGCGGUAAUACGGAGGAUCCGAGCGUUAUCCGGAUUUAUUGGGUUUAAAGGGAGCGUAGAUGGAUGUUUAAGUCAGUUGUGAAAGUUUGCGGCUCAACCGUAAAAUUGCAGUUGAUACUGGAUAUCUUGAGUGCAGUUGAGGCAGGCGGAAUUCGUGGUGUAGCGGUGAAAUGCUUAGAUAUCACGAAGAACUCCGAUUGCGAAGGCAGCCUGCUAAGCUGCAACUGACAUUGAGGCUCGAAAGUGUGGGUAUCAAACAGGAUUAGAUACCCUGGUAGUCCACACGGUAAACGAUGAAUACUCGCUGUUUGCGAUAUACUGCAAGCGGCCAAGCGAAAGCGUUAAGUAUUCCCACCCUGGGGAGUACGCCGGCAACGGUGAAACUCAAAGGAAUUGACGGGGGCCCGCACAAGCGGAGGAACAUGUGGUUUAAUUCGAUGAUACGCGAGGAACCUUAGCCGGGCUUAAAUUGCAGAUGAAUUACGAUGAAAGCCGUAAGCCGCAAGGCAUCUGUGAAGGUGCUGCAUGGUUAUCGUCAGCUCGUGCCGUGAGGUGUCGGCUUAAGUGCCAUAACGAGCGCAACCCUUGUUGUCAGUUACUAACAGGUUCCGCUGAGGACUCUGACAAGACUGCCAUCGUAAGAUGUGAGGAAGGUGGGGAUGACGUCAAAUCAGCUCGGCCCUUACGUCCGGGGCUACACACGUGUUACAAUGGGGGGUACAGAGGGCCGCUACCACGCGAGUGGAUGCCAAUCCCCAAAACCUCUCUCAGUUCGGACUGGAGUCUGCAACCCGACUCCACGAAGCUGGAUUCGCUAGUAAUCGCGCAUCAGCCACGGCGCGGUGAAUACGUUCCCGGGCCUUGUACACCCCGCCCGUCAAGCCAUGGGAGCCGGGGGUACCUGAAGUGCGUAACCGCGAGGAGCGCCCUAGGGUAAAACUGGU